rnacentral:lncRNA from 1 species
AGAUAAGGGUUCAGAGCCUGUGCUUCCAAGAUGACUUUGGGACCAGGGUGUAUGAGGAGGUAGGAAGGCGUGGCCCCUGCACGAGGCCUGGCUGGGAAACGCCGCUGUGAUCACAUCGUUCAUCACUCACUGCUGACCACCUGACAGUUUUCCAGGACCAAGCCUCCUGCACUGUGUGAUUCUGGGAACAUCUCCUCUGGCUCACAAGGUCUGAAAAGCAAACCAGUCAGCUAUGGAAGUCAGAGACUCCAAAUGGAGGGGCCGGCUGAAGCCAUGGCAGAAGAACGUGGAUUGUGAAGAUUUCUUGGACAUUUAUUAGUUCCCCAAAUUAAUACUUUUAUAAUUUGUUAUGCCUGUCUUUACUGCAAUCUCUAAACAUAAACUGUAAAGAUUUCAUGGACACUUAUCACUUCCCCAAUUAAUACCCUUGUGAUUUCCUAUGCCUGUCUUUAAUCUCUUAAUCCUGUCAGCUGAGGAGGAUGUAUAUCGCCUCAGGACCCUGUAAUAAUUGCAUUAACUGCACAAAUUGUACAGCAUGUGUGUUUGAGCAAUAUGAAAUGUGGGCACCUUAAAAAAAGAACAGCAUAACAGCAAUUGUUCAGGGAAUAAGAGAGAUAACCUUAAACUCUGUCCACCAGUGAGCUGGGUGGAACAGAGCCAUAUUUCUCUUCUUUCAAAAGCAAAUGGGAGAAAUAUCACCGAAUUCUUUUUCUCAGCAUGGAACAUCCCCGAGAAAGAGAAUGCGCACCUGGGGGUAGGUCUCUAAACUGGCCCCACUGGGCGUGGUCGUCUCUUAUGGUCGAGACUGCAGAGGUGAGAUAGACUCCAGUCUCCCAUAGCGCUCCCAGGCUUAUUAGGAAGACGAAAUUCCUGCCGAAUAAAUUUUGGUCCGAUGGUUGAUCUCAAAACUCUGUCUCCUGAUAAGAUGUUAUCAAUGACAACAGUGCCUGAAACUUCAUUAGCAAUUUUAAUUUUGCCUCAGUCCUGUGGUCCUGUGAUCUCACCCUGCCUCCACUUGCCUUGUGAUAUUCUAUUACCUUGUAAAGUACUUUAUGUCUGUGACCCACACCUAUUUGCACACUCCCUCCCCUUUUGAAACUCCCUAAUAAAAACUUGCUGGUUUUUGUGGCUUGUGGGGCAUCACGGAACCUACUGACAUGCGAUGUCUCCCCCUGACGCCCGGCUUGAAAAUUUCUCUCUUUUGUACUCUGUCCCUUUAUUUCUGAAGCUGGCCAAUGCUUAGGGAAAAUAGAAAAGAACCUACAUGAAUAUUGGGGCAGUUUCCCCGAUAUCAAUACAUAUAACUAUGGACACUCAAAAAUAUUUUCAUAAGGAAACAACAUCAGGUUUGGAGGCUGUGAUCUAGAUAACUUUCUGAGUCAACAUUUUGCUCCUGAUGCAUUCAUGGCUAUCAAGCCAUCUUUCCUUUCUUCCCCUCACCUACCAUAUUCUGACUUCUACUCCUAGAUUAAUUUCUCCAAGAGGACAGAACAUAUUAAGAUGUGGUGGGUCAGAAUGUGCAGGUGGUAGUGGUGACACCCAGCUAAUGAGUGUGAGAGGCAUGGGUCUGUAUCUCCUCAGCUUUCAAGAUUACAGCCUGAGCUACACAGAAAGAAGCUCUGUGUCCAUUUUAUUAGCAACUUCACAACUUGCUUCUGAACCUGAUAAGGAAGCAAUGAUAUCCCAUUCCACUAGGUGGCAGCAAAACUUUACCCACAAGGUGCCCAAGUGGUUCACUGGUAUUAUUAGUGCUAACUUGUUCAGCCCCACUUUAUUAGCAGAAAGACAGUGGCUAACAGGAUACUUCAAUUACAUAAUGCCUCUGACAGUGGAGAACAGACACUGCCGUUUUGCUUUCUACAGGCUGGCCUUUCCUUAGGCCUACCUGAAUUUUACAUGUAUUGUGAAUGAUCCUUUCAGAAAUCCACAGACCAAAUAGCAAAACGAGCCUUCUAAUAUACUUAAGACUGGAGUCAACAAUAAAAAGACCUAGUAAAGUUAUAUAGAUCCUACAUCAGAUUCAGGUGACACCCUGGGCAUGCCAUGGAUAAAAACUUCUGAAGUUUUCAUUAGGAUGGUAGAAUAAUGAAUGCGUCUUAGAAAUCUGUUAUUAUAAUAUAUACAAUUUUGAAAUAAUAUUUCCCAGAAGCAGUAGUACUUAAUCAGUUAGGCAGGCAGUCUGUAUAAAUUUUUUACCUUUGCAUUCUCCAAAUUCAGUAGGUUGUUCUUAGCCUCCCUAAAACCAAACAUUUUUGGCUAGAGGUGUUAACCCAAUCUCUCAACACAAACACUGAAAAAAAUAAAUAAAAAACACCCAAACAACAAUCUCUGAUAUUGACUUAUAAUUAUUCCCUCUGCUUAGGUCAUUAAUUUAAAAAGUAAAUAGGGUAAAACAUUUCAAGAUAAUAAACUGGGCUACAUUAAUUACACUUAAAUUAUGUAUUAUGUUAAAAUCUACAUCAUUUGAUCUUGAGAAAUUACACCACUCUCUUUCCAGUUAAAAAAUUCAGUUUCCAGGGACUUGAGAGUAUACCUAAUCUGAAUGAGUUAGAAACUUCUCAGAGGCCAGGCAUGACGGCUCAUGCUUGUAAUCCCAGAACUUUGGGAGGUUGAGGUGGGUGGAUCACUUGAGCUUAGGAGUUCGAGAUCGGCCUGGGCCACAUAAUGAAACCCCAUCUCUACAAAAAAUACAAAAAUUAGCCAGGCGUGGUGGUGCAUGCCUGCAGUCCCAGCUACUCAAGGGGCUGAGGCAGAAGGACUGCUUGAGCCCAGAGGGUUGAGGCUGCAGUGAGUCGCGUUUGUGCCACUGCACUCCAGCCUGGGCAACGAAGCAAGACCCUGUCUGGAAAAAAAAAAAAAAUUGUUCUCAGAAAAAUAAGCAUACAAAUGAGAGAUAGAAAUGAAUAGAGAGAUAUGGUAUCUCUUAAAUUAGAAAAUCAGCACAAGCAUAUAAGAGAUGUCAUCAUAGAGGAGGCAAAUUCAAGUUGAAAAGUUUCUUCCCAAACAUACUCUACUCUUGUACAUCGACUGUGGAAUAUUGAAGCCCCCACACUCUAUUACAUCACUACAUGGCUUAUUAUGUGAAUUUUUUACAAUACAAACAAAACAUACAGAAAUGCAAUAUAUGAAUACAGCUAAACGCAGAAUGGUG